AGGGGGAUGGAGCUUAGCCCAUAAAGAUAGAUCACCACGAUGGGAACCCAACCUUAAAAGGUUCAAUGGGUAGAAACAAACUGGAGUGUGACUAAGAGAAACACUGUUUUAUGUUUUUCUCAUCCCUAUAGCACUAGUGCUCAUAAAAGUAAGCGGUAGAAUAAGUUUGUUUGUAUAACUCUUAAUGAGUCCAAGACCCAAGAGGCAAGAACUUUCUUGCUAGUUUUCUUAUUAGGACUCACCUAUAUAUGCAGUCGUGAGGCCGCAAUUAUGAAAAUGGGUGAUUCUCUAAAAAGCACAUGAAAGAUACCUGCGCACGGCCAUAUUAGCGCAACCCGCUUAGAACCUAAAUCGGGCUAUAAUAUUUGUGCUGUUGAUUUAAUCUGAGCCAUGGACCGAGGGCGUCGAUCUUAACCUUUAUCUGUGCAUGCCCUGCCCGCCGGAGCUAGUCGAAAACAU
rnacentral:lncRNA from 1 species